UACGUAGGGGGCAAGCGUUGUCCGGAUUUAUUGGGCGUAAAGAGCGUGUAGGCGGCUUGGUAGGUCCGCUGUGAAAACUCGAGGCUCAACCUCGAGAUGUCGGCGGAAACCACUUGGCUAGAGUCCGGAAGAGGAGAGUGGAAUUCCCGGUGUAGCGGUGAAAUGCGCAGAUAUCGGGAAGAACACCUAUGGUGAAGGCAGCUCUCUGGGACGGUACUGACGCUGAGACGCGAAAGCGUGGGGAGCGAACAGG
rnacentral:rRNA from 1 species